UGGGGCCAGCUUCCCCAUGAAAAAGGUAACGCAGGAGAGAAGCAAGAGGUGGCCAUCUUAGAAACACAAGUUGAGCCCUCAGAAGCCGCACCCUGUCCCAGCCUUCUGUACUUCUGUCCCCAGAGUACUAAAGUGGGGAGAACAAGAAAACCUGGCCACCAUUGUGUGACUGGAGGUGGCUGUCCACCGGAGAGCUUGGUUGUCCAUUUCCAGGCUCUCUCUACACACAGAACCCUGAAGAUGGCAGCCUCUCCCAACUCCAUCCCUGGUGGCCCCUGUCACUCACAGUUGCAACCAAAACCCCAGGCUGCUCCAUUACCCAGAGGCAUUUAGUUGAUGUCAUGUGCAUGUUUAUGUGCUCCCCACUUUACAGCUGCAGAAGACCAAUGUCAUCCUGAGAGCUGAGGCUGGGCGGGUGCAUGACUGCUCUUCAGAGCCCACGCAACCAAACGUGACCUCUUCAGUGUCAGCUCGGGGACAGGAAGGAGCCUCAGGGGGCUGUGACCUGACACCUCCUUCCACACGAGCGUCCCCAGACCCAUCUCUGAGUCCCAUAUGGAGCCGAAUGUCCAUGCUCAGAGCUCAGAUGAAAGACCAUGACAGGCAUAGAUCCUGAGGCCACGGUCCCCUGGGGGAUUUUUCCUAAAGGAUAACUGAUCUCAUGGUCAAGAAAGUCUGAGCUGCAGGAGACUCUGAACUGAGCUGAACACCUGGCAGUGGGGUUCCAUAGGCGCACCCACAAAUACAGAGAGCUGCAGCAGUCA